CGAAAUGUAGCAUAAAUUAAUGUAUUUCAUUUACACUGAAAGGAAAGUUGUGAGAUUCAAUUCAUUUUGA
rnacentral:tRNA from 1 species